rnacentral:rRNA from 1 species
UGGGGAAUUUUGGACAAUGGGCGAAAGCCUGAUCCAGCAAUGCCGCGUGUGUGAAGAAGGCCUUCGGGUUGUAAAGCACUUUUGUCCGGAAAGAAAUCCUUGGCUCUAAUACAGUCGGGGGAUGACGGUACCGGAAGAAUAAGCACCGGCUAACUACGUGCCAGCAGCCGCGGUAAUACGUAGGGUGCAAGCGUUAAUCGGAAUUACUGGGCGUAAGCGUGCGCAGGCGGUUUGCUAAGACCGAUGUGAAAUCCCCGGGCUCAACCUGGGAACUGCAUGGUGACUGGCAGGCUAGAGUAUGGCAGAGGGGGGUAGAAUUCCACGUGUAGCAGUGAAUGCGUAGAGAUGUGGAGGAAUACCGAUGGCGAAGGCAGCCCCCUGGGCCAAUACUGACGCUCAUGCACGAAAGCGUGGGG